rnacentral:rRNA from 1 species
UACAGAGGGUGCAAGCGUUAAUCGGAAUUACUGGGCGUAAAGCGUGCGUAGACGGUAGCGUAAGUCGGGUGUGAAAGCCCCGGGCUCAACCUGGGAAUUGCAUUCGAGACUGCUCUGCUAGGGUGCGGAAGAGGGGAGCGGAAUUUCCGGUGUAGCGGUGAAAUGCGUAGAUAUCAGGAGGAACACCGAUGGCGAAGGCAGGUCUCUGGGCUGACACUGACGCUCAUGCACGAAAGCGUGGGGAGCAAACAGG